AUGGUCGACACACCGCGCAGCCCCCCUGGCAUGCGUCGCAACGGUGGCGGCGAUGACAGCGGCGAUCCAUCGCGCGUUCACGAAGAGUACCACCCCGAAACCCUGUCUUCGCGGCAGAGGGAGGAACUUCACGGCCGCAACAUGGAGGCGCUUCACACGCCCAUCGUUGAGGAGACCUCUGAGGCUCGGGCCUUGGAGGAGGCGCGCCUGGCCACUUUGGCUGAGCGCACUCGACUAGAGAACCUUCAGCAUGCACUCGACGAGCAUGCUCGGCGGCAGAUUCCUGAGUCCAGUCGACGGCAACGACAACUGUUCCCGCCUCAACCUCAGCAGGAGAGCAGAACACAGCAGUGUCUCAGUCACGGAGCAGAAUCCAUAGCAGAACUGUGGUGGCCGAUACAGUCCAGUCGGCUCACAGCCCUAGAUCGCCUCAGCGGCGUGAAGGGCAAGGGCAUCGUCAAGAGCAAUAUUUGGGUCGGAACCAUGAGCAGUAUGAUAAUCGACUCUGCCGUGAUGACCGCCGUCGAGUGUCUACGCCCCCUCCGAGGGGCGGAUCAUACGUGCCCCGGCAUUAUGAUGACAGGCGCCCGUACAACGAUGAGCGGAGGUUGCCAGUCGACCCAAGAGAGCCAGGAUUUGAUGCAAGGUCAAUUCUGGUGCAAGGUCUGGUCGACAGGAACCGAGCACAUAGAGAAGGGCAAGACAGAGAUCACCCGAGUGGAAGCAGAGUACAUGCACUACAAAAAAAAUUACACUUCCGUGAUGAUACGUGUUUGUCACAGUAGGUCACGUUUUCUGUCAUGCAUGUACAUCCAUGACAAAUUUAUGACAGAAUCAAGAUAG
rnacentral:rRNA from 1 species